UGUAAUGAUUUUUCAUUUAAAUGCUCUGGCGCUGAGGAUGGGUCUGCGGCAGAUUAGGUAGUUGGUAGGGUAAUGGCUACCAAGCCGGUGAUCUGUACGGGUUGUGAGAGCAAGAGCCCGGAGAUGGAACUGAGACAAGGUUCCAGGCCUACGGGGCGCAGCAGGCGCGAAACCUCCGCAAUGCGAGAAAUCGCGACGAGGGGACCCCAAGUGCCACUCUUAACGGGGUGGCUUUUCUUAAGUGUAAAAAGCUUUUGGAAUAAGGGCUGGGCAAGACCGGUGCCAGCCGCCGCGGUAACACCGGCAGCUCUAGUGGUAGCCAUUUUUAUUGGGCCUAAAGCGUUCGUAGCCGGUUUGAUAAGUCUCUGGUGAAAUCCUGUAGCUUAACUGUGGGAAUUGCUGGAGAUACUAUUAGACUUGAGGUCGGGAGAGGUUAGCGGUACUCCCAGGGUAGGGGUGAAAUCCUGUAAUCCUGGGAGGACCACCUGUGGCGAAGGCGGCUAACUGGAACGAACCUGACGGUGAGGGACGAAAGCCAGGGGCGCGAACCGGAUUAGAUACCCGGGUAGUCCUGGCCGUAAACGAUGUGGACUUGGUGUUGGGAUGGCUUCGAGCUGUUUCAGUGCCGAAGGGAAGCUGUUAAGUCCACCGCCUGGGAAGUACGGUCGCAAGACUGAAACUUAA
rnacentral:rRNA from 1 species